GAAAAACGUUAUAUAAAUAAACCUGAUUUGACUAGAACGCUCGGUCAGGAAAUUGCAAACCUCGCGAUACUUGAUUGGUUACUACAGUCGUAAGUCCAAACAAACACUUAGAGACCGGAUAAGUCGAUUAAGACCUAAAAGCCACUUUUAAUACUGGAACCAGUGAACACUAGGAUGAUCCUGAUGAUGGAGCUGUGAGGAGGAUGAAACUGAGGGUGAACCUCCACCACCUGAUGUUCCGAUCCACAAAGCAAACAUCUAGAAACUUCAAGAGUAAGAGAGGCUGCAGCCUAACUUCCUGGAACAUCCCGGCCGUCCACAGUAGACCAGCUUCCUGAAGAAAGGGCCGCAUUAAUCCGGGGAUUGUCUAAACAGAAGCAAAACAUACUGGCGUUCCUGCAUUGGCCACACAUUUCAGCUGAGAGGAAACCUGCCCAAAAGAACCAGACGAGCUGCAGAAAGACGUUUUAACGUGCAUGAAUUGUCAUUGCAGGCUGGAGAGCCGGAGAGAUGUAAUGUCAGGAAGCUUCCAGAAGAUGGUGGACGACUGAUUGCUUUAGGAGCGGCGAUCCUCUCGUGUUUCAGCCACUGCGCAGACCGCUCCUCCGGGCUCGUCGCUCUGAGGGACGCCAACAUGAAUUCGCUGAGGAGAGGCAUCACCAACCUGCGCACCCUCAUCGACAGUCAAUCACACCGGCAGCACACACACGCUGCUGCAGAGCAAGGCGAAUGGAAUAACAACCUGGAAGAUCUCGGAGGUGCACGUGGAGCCCUAACUGGUGCUAUAGUGCCUCAGCUGCUCCUUAAUGUUGAGUGUCGAGUUGUGGUUGUCACGGCAGCCAGCGUCAAAAUUCAUGUUUCUACAGUCGAUGCCUACGAUGUCAGGAAGCACUGCAGCACUCAGACAGCAAAGAGAUCAGAGGACGGCGCCUUUCGAGCUUCAAUGUGUUGCUGUGUCGACUACAAGCUGCAGCACCACAGCAGGAUGGAAGUCAGAGUUUACAGAGAAGAUGAUUUAAGGGCGCGCUCCAAAAGAAACUGUCUGGGCUUCACAUCUUUCUCCAUCAGAGAUCUUCUCAGGUCCAAGGAGCCUGAGAGCUCCCUUAAGCUCAGGACGAUGGACGGAGUAAAUGAGGUCGGGGAGGUGAAGGUGUCCCGUCUGCAGGUGGAGGAGGAGACGGAGGUUAAAUCUCCUGAAAAUAAGAGCUCUGUGCUGUGCGACGCUCUGCACGGCUCCGUCCAGGACAAAGAAAACAGCCCGAUGAUGCGAGCGGCUUUGUGCUCUCAGGUGUGCAAGUUGUACAGGUUUCAGACGGAGGACCACAGGUGGCUGCUGGUCAGGGAACAGAUGUCAGAGUCGCCGCUCUCCUUCUCUUUACCCAAACAGCUACUGAGCGUGCUCAUUCAGGAGCACACAGACCGAGUCCUUGAGGUCAAGGAGCUCUGUGACCUUUCGCCGCACUGGGACGGCCUUCGCCACGAUGUCAUCUUCCACUGUAACCAGUUGAUCAGUUGCUAUCAGCAGACGCAGGCUGAGCUCCACAAACUCUCAACUUCGUCUUGUUUCAAGGCGAGCAGCAGCAAGUCUGACCGACACCUCCAAUUCAUUUCAACCAACCUGCACUCACAGAGGAUGGAGGUGACCAGCCCCGACAGCUCAGGUGUUUGGUACGAGGUCAUCACGUUCGGAGCUCCCGCUGAUCACCACCACGCGUUCAAACACGGAGGACUGAAGAGGCUGAUCAGCAAACACACAGACCACAGAAAGAGCUCAGUGUCAUAUUCCAGAGACGAGAGCUGCAGGGCCAAGGAGCUGCUGGCCAGCGUCGCCCAGCUGCAGCCUCUGAUCUUCGGGCUCGCUGAGGAGCUGCUCUCCAUCUCUGUGGAGGAAAACUUCGGGCGUCUGGAGGAGGUCCUGGACAGCCUCAAGGAGCAGACCAUACUGUUUAUUCAUGCCCUAAAGGACGAGCUUGUUAAAAGCGCCUUGCUGGACAUACACAACCAGUCCACCGCUAACAACGGCAGCAGCCAUGUGCAUAGCAACGGAUUGCUCUGUGAAAUCUCCCCGGGCGACCAGGAAGGGGCGCUGUCGCUUCGGCUGCAGGAAGAAAGGGAGUACAGCGAGGAGGAAUGGGGCAGGACGUGGGCGAAUGUCGGGAAGAGUCUGGACUGCAUCAUAGCCAUGGUGGACCGGUUGCAGGGGCGAGAGCGCCUCCUACAGGAACAAUCCUCACUGGAGCAGCAGGAAUCUACGGGGGACACAAAGUCUCAAAACACAGCCUCUCCUUCCUCCUUCUCCUCCUCCACUGUGUCCUCCUGGCAGGAGCAGCUGCUCCCCCUGGUGGUCACUCUCAGAGAUUGCGUGCGGGAUGCGGUAACGAACGCUCGAACUGCCAUGACCUUUGUUGUCCUGCAGGGGGCAGUGGCUGCGACCGUUGCUCAGGGUCCUGCACAGAUUGUCCAACGGCGCCACGCUGUCUUCAGCCAGGCGCUGUCGGCGCUUGUUUGUGGCUUCAUGCUGAAGCUUUUUGGAGGUCUGGAGGAUCCAGAGUUCCUGCAGCAGCUUCACUCUGUAGGAAUCCUAGCUCAGUUUGAAGGCCUGCUGAGCACCUACGGUGAGGAGGUGGGGAUGCUGGAGGACAUGGACGUGGGCGUGUCCGACCUGAGCAGCGUGGCGUUCACCGUCACUGAGGCCGAAUCAGAGCAACCAGACGACCUGCUGCCGACGCUCAGGGGAACAUGGGGCGGUUUUGUUGUCGACGUGCCGCUGCCCUCAGAAACCUUCAGCUCAUUACCUCAGGAACUAAAGUCGGGUCGUUUGAUCCGGGUCGAGCCUGUUCUGUUUAACAUCGGUAUCAACCAGCAUCAGAGUCUGGCUGAGAGGUUUGGAGACAGUUCGCUGCAGGAGAGAGUCAAUCAGCAAAGCUGUGAACGUCUCAAAGCUUAUGUUAACAAGCUGAGAGACAAACUUCCUCAUAUGGCUGGUAUCCAGUCACUAUUAGACUUGCUUCCAUCUCUUGAUCGCAGCAUGGAGACCAAAAAGAGGAAAAACGUGGAGGUUUUGUGGAUCGCAGCUUCAGUGUGUCGUAAAGUAAACGGCGUGCGACUGACGAGCUGUAAGAGUGCGAAGGACCGCACGGCGAUGUCUGUGACGCUGGAGCAGUGUAUGAUACUCAGAGAGCAACACACACUCAGCCAGCAGCACUUCAACUCUGCACUGGACAGCAUGAGGAGGUCUCGUCUGUCCUGGGGGCAGAUGCUGGGCUGUUAUGCCCACUCAGGGUUCUCUGUUUCUGGGUUUGAUCCGACAGAGUGUCCCUCUGGUCUCCACAGCUCCUGGCUUCAACUGUGCUUGGUUUCCAGGAGACACUUUUACCCAGUGGCCUUCCUCCUGGUGACCUCUCACCUCCUGGUUCUCUGGCUCAUCUUCAGCUUGGUGAUUGUGCUGGCUAAAUACCAGUAAACCGCCUCAGACUGGGAGCACUGGAGUCUACAGAUUGUAAAUGUUCUCCCAGGGACGGCUGCAGGACGGAGAACGUCCAGAAGAACGUCGGCAGCAGGAAGUUCGCCUUCAGCAGCGUCCAGCUCCUCACCUUCCCCAAACUCUACAGACCUCCAGACGGCAGCUACGGAUAGACACUCCGUCUGUUUCCACACGUAUUUAUGUCCAAAGAUGUUUUAUUUUCUCAUGUGAAGUGUGUGUGUUUGCUGGUUAAUGUUUGCAGAUUGUAUUUCUGUGUGAAUGAGAACCAUGUGUUCUGUUGACUGUGUUUACAGCUGUUUGAAUUACAAACAUGUUUCUGCAAUAAAUUACUGAACUCCUGA